GGGUUGUGAGGUUAAGCGACUAAGCGUACACGGUGGAUGCCCUGGCAGUCAGAGGCGAUGAAGGACGUGCUAAUCUGCGAUAAGCGUCGGUGAGGUGAUAUGAACCGUUAUAACCGGCGAUUUCCGAAUGGGGAAACCCAGUGUGUUUCGACACACUAUCAUUAACUGAAUCCAUAGGUUAAUGAGGCGRACCGGGGGAACUGAAACAUCUAAGUACCCCGAGGAAAAGAAAUCAACCGAGAUUCCCCCAGUAGCGGCGAGCGAACGGGGAGGAGCCCAGAGCCUGAAUCAGUGUGUGUGUUAGUGGAAGCGUCUGGAAAGGCGCGCGAUACAGGGUGACAGCCCCGUACACAAAAAURCACAUAUUGUGAGCUCGAUGAGUAGGGCGGGACACGUGGUAUCCUGUCUGAAUAUGGGGGGACCAUCCUCCAAGGCUAAAUACUCCUGACUGACCGAUAGUGAACCAGUACCGUGAGGGAAAGGCGAAAAGAACCCCGGCGAGGGGAGUGAAAAAGAACCUGAAACCGUGUACGUACAAGCAGUGGGAGCCUCUUUAUGGGGUGACUGCGUACCUUUUGUAUAAUGGGUCAGCGACUUAUAUUCUGUAGCAAGGUUAACCGAAUAGGGGAGCCGAAGGGAAACCGAGUCUUAACUGGGCGUUAAGUUGCAGGGUAUAGACCCGAAACCCGGUGAUCUAGCCAUGGGCAGGUUGAAGGUUGGGUAACACUAACUGGAGGACCGAACCGACUAAUGUUGAAAAAUUAGCGGAUGACUUGUGGCUGGGGGUGAAAGGCCAAUCAAACCGGGAGAUAGCUGGUUCUCCCCGAAAGCUAUUUAGGUAGCGCCUCGUGAAUUCAUCUCCGGGGGUAGAGCACUGUUUCGGCAAGGGGGUCAUCCCGACUUACCAACCCGAUGCAAACUGCGAAUACCGGAGAAUGUUAUCACGGGAGACACACGGCGGGUGCUAACGUCCGUCGUGAAGAGGGAAACAACCCAGACCGCCAGCUAAGGUCCCAAAGUCAUGGUUAAGUGGGAAACGAUGUGGGAAGGCCCAGACAGCCAGGAUGUUGGCUUAGAAGCAGCCAUCAUUUAAAGAAAGCGUAAUAGCUCACUGGUCGAGUCGGCCUGCGCGGAAGAUGUAACGGGGCUAAACCAUGCACCGAAGCUGCGGCAGCGACACUAUGUGUUGUUGGGUAGGGGAGCGUUCUGUAAGCCUGUGAAGGUGGCCUGUGAGGGUUGCUGGAGGUAUCAGAAGUGCGAAUGCUGACAUAAGUAACGAUAAAGCGGGUGAAAAGCCCGCUCGCCGGAAGACCAAGGGUUCCUGUCCAACGUUAAUCGGGGCAGGGUGAGUCGACCCCUAAGGCGAGGCCGAAAGGCGUAGUCGAUGGGAAACAGGUUAAUAUUCCUGUACUUGGUGUUACUGCGAAGGGGGGACGGAGAAGGCUAUGUUGGCCGGGCGACGGUUGUCCCGGUUUAAGCGUGUAGGCUGGUUUUCCAGGCAAAUCCGGAAAACCAAGGCUGAGGCGUGAUGACGAGGCACUACGGUGCUGAAGCGACAAAUGCCCUGCUUCCAGGAAAAGCCUCUAAGCAUCAGGUAACAUCAAAUCGUACCCCAAACCGACACAGGUGGUCAGGUAGAGAAUACCAAGGCGCUUGAGAGAACUCGGGUGAAGGAACUAGGCAAAAUGGUGCCGUAACUUCGGGAGAAGGCACGCUGAUAUGUAGGUGAAGCGACUUGCUCGUGGAGCUGAAAUCAGUCGAAGAUACCAGCUGGCUGCAACUGUUUAUUAAAAACACAGCACUGUGCAAACACGAAAGUGGACGUAUACGGUGUGACGCCUGCCCGGUGCCGGAAGGUUAAUUGAUGGGGUUAGCGGUAACGCGAAGCUCUUGAUCGAAGCCCCGGUAAACGGCGGCCGUAACUAUAACGGUCCUAAGGUAGCGAAAUUCCUUGUCGGGUAAGUUCCGACCUGCACGAAUGGCGUAAUGAUGGCCAGGCUGUCUCCACCCGAGACUCAGUGAAAUUGAACUCGCUGUGAAGAUGCAGUGUACCCGCGGCAAGACGGAAAGACCCCGUGAACCUUUACUAUAGCUUGACACUGAACAUUGAGCCUUGAUGUGUAGGAUAGGUGGGAGGCUUUGAAGUGUGGACGCCAGUCUGCAUGGAGCCGACCUUGAAAUACCACCCUUUAAUGUUUGAUGUUCUAACGUUGGCCCGUAAUCCGGGUUGCGGACAGUGUCUGGUGGGUAGUUUGACUGGGGCGGUCUCCUCCUAAAGAGUAACGGAGGAGCACGAAGGUUGGCUAAUCCUGGUCGGACAUCAGGAGGUUAGUGCAAUGGCAUAAGCCAGCUUGACUGCGAGCGUGACGGCGCGAGCAGGUGCGAAAGCAGGUCAUAGUGAUCCGGUGGUUCUGAAUGGAAGGGCCAUCGCUCAACGGAUAAAAGGUACUCCGGGGAUAACAGGCUGAUACCGCCCAAGAGUUCAUAUCGACGGCGGUGUUUGGCACCUCGAUGUCGGCUCAUCACAUCCUGGGGCUGAAGUAGGUCCCAAGGGUAUGGCUGUUCGCCAUUUAAAGUGGUACGCGAGCUGGGUUUAGAACGUCGUGAGACAGUUCGGUCCCUAUCUGCCGUGGGCGCUGGAGAACUGAGGGGGGCUGCUCCUAGUACGAGAGGACCGGAGUGGACGCAUCACUGGUGUUCGGGUUGUCAUGCCAAUGGCACUGCCCGGUAGCUAAAUGCGGAAGAGAUAAGUGCUGAAAGCAUCUAAGCACGAAACUUGCCCCGAGAUGAGUUCUCCCUGACUCCUUGAGAGUCCUGAAGGAACGUUGAAGACGACGACGUUGAUAGGCCGGGUGUGUAAGCGCAGCGAUGCGUUGAGCUAACCGGUACUAAUGAACCGUGAGGCUUAACCUUACAACGCCGAAG
rnacentral:rRNA from 1 species